CCUUCUUAUCUUAAAAGGCGCCUGAUCUCGCAAAUGAUAAAACCUUAACCCUCGGGCCCUCAGAGUCCCGAACGCGAGUGAGAGCAGAUCUGAGAAAAUGAGAGAUGUGAAACACAGAGAAGGUCUGGAAACCCUAACAAUGCCAUUGUCUCUGUGAUCGGAGCCUUCGCUGUAGAUCAGAGACAUGAGCGUGAAGAAAGAGAGAGACGACGGGGCAUGAAGAAAAGCUCCUCCAAUGCGAUUCUUGUUUUGCGAGGUUUAACGCCUCGAUGGCCGCCAUUGAUCCACGAUCGGAUCUGUUCAAGAGCUCACUGUUGAAAUCGCGUAGUAAUUAACACCAAGACCAGAGAUCUGAUGGGGCUAGGUACAUUCCAUGUCAGCUUGCUCAAGAUGCGAAAGAGUGCGAUGUGGAUUGAUAGGCACUGACAGUGGGCCUUCCUUUAUCUUUAAGGUUUUACUCCUUUCUCAUUCAAGCAUGUGGAUGUAUGUUUUUCUUUUGUAAGAUAUCAUUUUUUUGUUUUUAAAUGGAAACAAAAUGAACAAAAUAAGUUUCCAGAGGUAAAUAGCAUAGUAUUGUUGAAAACUUGAACGAUAUAUCUGACAAAAAACAAAAUUGGCACACAUUAUGGGAGCGCUUUGAAAUAGCAUAUUUUUGUUGAAUGAUAUAUUCUGAUAUGAGGGAGUGGGGUUUGGUACCUUACAUAUGGAAUCGGGAACAUUGUGACAUUACAUUAGUGAUACACGGUGGCGUAGUGAAUUUAAAAGUAAGCAUUUGUAGCAAUAUCGGAUGGUCUAAUAACCAUGCAUAACUAGACUGUUCAACAACUUGAUGUUCCGACAAAAAGAGAUCAGAUGAUGGGGUUUCUCUAACUUUCAAUGUAACAUGAGGUUAAAGACAUUAGAAAGUGAAAAAUCAUAAAUGGGUUAGUGCAUUAUUCAAAUAUUGUCGUACACAAUGUUCUAGGCAAUGUCAGUAAUCUGAGUGUUUUAAUUAGACCCUCCCCUUCUCAACUUUUCAAGUUAGGAUGAGAUUGCAAGGAGUCUCAGAAGUUCUCAGUAUUUUCUUUUGCAUCUAUGCACCCAAGCAAUGUUUAUAGGUUAUUACCAUGGAAAUAAAAUUUGAAGCAGUAAAUUUCAUAGAACUAAAAUUUAUCUGCCCACAUUGUCAAAUAUAUAUCGAUGAUAGAUUGGCAGUUAUAAAUUUAGAAGCCUAUUCAGUCUCUCUCUCUCUCUGGUGUUCUGUUAUAUUUCCUAGUUGAAGUUGGUACAUAUCAAUAUUAAUUUGAUAUAAUUUCUCAUUGUAGCUGUUUAUCAUUCAUUUUUUUGUUAUCUAUUGACUAUACCGUUGGAUUGUGUAAAAGCUGGAAGAUAUAUAACAUAUAUAAUUUCUAUGUUAAUUGUAUUUCCGUGUAUUGGCAGGUAUUCUUUUUGGUAGUAAAAUGUUGUUUAAAAUGAAGUUAUGAAUGGACAAAUAUAGUAAUAGAGUAUUUUAAAAUGUUUCUUCAGGAUGUUGUGUUCUGGUUUGCGAUCUUUAACAUUCAGUGGUUAUCCCACACCAAACGUUCUUCCUUUGAGUUGCAGCAUCUUGCAUUUUAAACAAAAGAACCUGUUGUUCUAUGUAUUUUUUGUUAUUGACAUAACAAACUGUUCUUCCUAUCAUUCCCACUUGUUGCAUUUUAACUUUAAUUUUUUUAUUCUAUGGUUUUUUUAUAUGCUUUUAUAUUACUACCUUUCAAGUUUGUCCACAUUUUAAAGACAUUAUCGUUCCUGAAAUGCCAGCCUUUUAUUUUGUAGGUAAUUUUUGAGGAUUGAUGUUUCUUCUAGAGACAUGCAAUGAAUUUUUUUGUCAGUUAGUUCGUUAGUGCGACUUUCUUAUGUUUGUUGUGUCGUACACUUGCACAUUCAGUAGUUCUGCUUCGGUUCAACGUAUUAUUUUGCACACUGACCAUCUGGCUUAUUUCAGUCUUUAUUCCAAUUGUUAUUAUUUCUGAUGGUUCUAAUUGUUUAAUUAUGUCUCAACUUUUGAGUCUUGAUAUUAUUUUAUUAAUUGUUUUAACUGUUUUUUUUUUCCCCCAGGUUCGCCUCAAAUUUCACUUUUGUUUUUCUGACAAAUUUGAUCUAAUUUCAAUCAAAACAAGUCUGUAUAAUAUCAAUUCUUUUAUUUGAGUGCUGCGGAUUGUAGCUUUUACUUGGAUAUACUUCCGACCCGCAAUACUGAAUUGGGCGUCGUCAAGUUUAAGGUU